AAGAUGGCGGCGCACAAGUCAGGUCCGGCACAUGUUUCCGCGGAGCGGAGCCCGCAGUGACGGAUGAUAUCACCUCUUCUUCUCUGGUGAGAGUCUGAGGAUAGAGACUUUUUUCUCACCAUGAAUGUCACCCCAGAGGUCAAGAGUCGUGGGAUGAAGUUUGCUGAGGAGCAGCUGCUAAAGCAUGGAUGGACUCAAGGCAAAGGCCUUGGCCGGAAGGAGAAUGGUAUCACCCAGGCUCUCAGGGUGACACUGAAGCAAGACACUCAUGGGGUAGGACAUGACCCUGCCAAGGAGUUCACAAACCACUGGUGGAAUGAGCUCUUCAACAAGACUGCGGCCAACUUGGUAGUGGAAACUGGGCAGGUAUGAGCUCUUGAUAGAUGGGCACAUGAAACAGAGGGCCUGGGACCUGUGGCGUAGGCAGUCAUGAUAUGUCACCCAUUCACUGGUACUGAUAAUUCUCUACAGGAUGGAGUACAGAUAAGGAGCCUUUCUAAGGAGACCACCCGUUAUAAUCAUCCCAAGCCCAACUUGCUGUAUCAGAAGUUUGUGAAGGUAUUAGAGGCUGUGGGUAACAGAGUCCAUCCUUUUUCUCUUCCCUGGUUUCCCUGGGGCCUGAACAGUUGCCUUGUAUGCCUUAUCAAUUCUCA
rnacentral:sRNA from 1 species